CCGAGUUUACAACUCCCAAACCCCUGUGAACAUACCUGCAGUUGCCUCGGCGCGCCGCCCCGUGCCCCCGGCCCUCAGCGGCCGCGGGCCGGACCCCCAGCGCGGACGCCGGAGGACCCCAAAACCUGUCUCUUGCAAGUCUUCUGAGCGUGCCGAAAGGCAAACAAAUAAUCA
rnacentral:misc_RNA from 1 species